GAUGAACGCUGGCGGCGUGCCUAAUACAUGCAAGUCGAGCGAACAGACGAGGAGCUUGCUCCUCUGACGUUAGCGGCGGACGGGUGAGUAACACGUGGAUAACCUACCUAUAAGACUGGGAUAACUUCGGGAAACCGGAGCUAAUACCGGAUAAUAUAUUGAACCGCAUGGUUCAUUAGUGAAAGACGGUUUUGCUGUCACUUAUAGAUGGAUCCGCGCCGCAUUAGCUAGUUGGUAAGGUAACGGCUUACCAAGGCAACGAUGCGUAGCCGACCUGAGAGGGUGGUCGGCCACACUGGAACUGAGACACGGUCCAGACUCCUACGGGAGGCAGCAGUAGGGAAUCUUCCGCAAUGGGCGAAAGCCUGACGGAGCAACGCCGCGUGAGUGAUGAAGGUCUUCGGAUCGUAAAACUCUGUUAUUAGGGAAGAACAAAUGUGUAAGUAACUAUGCACGUCUUGACGGUACCUAAUCAGAAAGCCACGGCUAACUACGUG
rnacentral:rRNA from 1 species